CACAAUGCAGUUCAUCAGAAGUACAACCCAAAGAGCUCUCUGAUGACCGAAAAAGAUUUGUUUUUCCAUUCUUAAGUGCAGUUCAAGACACUAAACCUGAAAGAGGCUCCACAAAACAUGCAACAAAUCCAGAGCCAAGGCGAAAAAUUUACUUCCUCCAGCACUACGGAAAGAGCAACUGUUUGAAGAGAAAUGGGUGGGUCAAAGAACAGCAAAAGGAUUACGUUGCCUGAUAGGUUUGCGCUUCAGUUUAGGAAUAGGACAAAGCUAUGACAAGAAAGUUGAUUGGAUGGAUUCGAUGGAUGAGGAAAUUCAAAUAUGCAAAAGAAUGUUGGCUAAUCCAAACAGCUGGGUUGAGGGAGAGCUUCCUCUGAGGUCCUCCAUGACCCCGAGGAAAUGAACCUCCUGAGGCUGUGGUCUCAGAUGUUUAGUUGCAAAAGAAAAACAGUUGUUGGUUC